rnacentral:piRNA from 1 species
UCCAGAUGACCCCAUGUGUGCAGGACA